AUUGAACGCUGGCGGCAGGCCUAACACAUGCAAGUCGAACGGUAACAGGAAGCAGCUUGCUGCUUUGCUGACGAGUGGCGGACGGGUGAGUAAUGUCUGGGAAACUGCCCGAUGGAGGGGGAUAACUACUGGAAACGGUAGCUAAUACCGCAUAACGUCGCAAGACCAAAGAGGGGGACCUUAGGGCCUCUUGCCAUCGGAUGUGCCCAGAUGGGCGUAGCUAGUAGGUGGGGUAACGGCUCACCUAGGCGACGAUCCCUAGCUGGUCUGAGAGGAUGACCAGCCACACUGGAACUGAGACACGGUCCAGACUCCUACGGGAGGCAGCAGUGGGGAAUAUUGCACAAUGGGCGCAAGCCUGAUGCAGCCAUGCCGCGUGUAUGAAGAAGGCCUUCGGGUUGUAAAGUACUUUCAGCGGGGAGGAAGGGAGUAAAGUUAAUACCUUUGCUCAUUGACGUUACCCGCAGAAGAAGCACCGGCUAACUCCGUG
rnacentral:rRNA from 1 species